UGAGACGGGCUGCCUUCCUUACGGUGGCGUUGAUGGCGCAGCUGUGGGGCGCUGUGGGAGUCGUAGGGUUAGGUUUUGACUGCCCGCCCAGCUCACUCUGGACUGAGCGACCUGUUUCGGCUUCAUCCAGGACAGGGAAGGGAGCAGCACAUCCUUGGAAGCCUCUCGGGACCUCUGGACUCUGGAUCAGAGAACCUCAAACUCAACCCUUCCGGAUCUUUUUUCCGAGGAACAUUGAUGCGUUGGGAUUUCCAAGCCUCUGGGCCUGUCUUUUCUCCGUUUGCUCUCCAGGGUUGCUGCUCCACUGAGCUCCACACAGGCCCAUUCAUCUGCCAGGUAUGCUCUCUGCCCCUUUUGGCUCCUCUAAGAUACAUCUGACCUGCCCUGGCUCCCUCCUCUUCCUUCCGGAACGUGGCUGGCUGCGGGUCAAGGGUUGGAAUCAGGCUGUUCUCUCCCGCUCUGCGAGAGGAGCCUUUCAGAAGGCAGCAGCACAGAUUCAGGGAUCCCCCCGCUCCCACCUUAGUGGUCUGAGUCAACGGGGUUGGCUGCCAGCAGAACCAAGGAAACCAUCUUCUAUGAGGUUUGUGAUCCCAGUCCAGUGACACCUGCUGGAAAGUCACACACUGGACAUCAACCUCCAGCUUACGGAUUGCUCUGCGCUCUUUCAAUAUGCAGAAAUGCAGAAAGUCAACCAUAUAGGAUGCUCUCAUCACACCUCGGAACAAACAAGGAGAAACAAAGCCACUCCACAGUCAUCCUUGUCAACAGCUAAUGCGCUCCCCAAUCUUGUUUAACUAUUAGAACAAGUUUGCUUAUCCACACUCUAUUAAUUCCAUGAACUGGGAGGCCAAGCCCAUUAAAGAAAAAUUUGCCUCAGAAUAAUUUCCUCAGUUAUUACAGAUGGAAGCCGGCCCCACCUCCAGCCUCUUCAGUUUAACACACCAGAGAGAGAGAGACUGAAAACCCGUCCACCCAAAACUGAUCCGCAUUUAGGAUGUCACAGCACGUGUCUCUGAAAGACGCUGUGAAGACCAAGUGUGCUAUUCAGUGGCACUUACUACAUUCACUGUGUGUGACCGUCACCCUGCCCAGUGCAGGACGUCUGCACCCCCGAGGAAACCCUGCCACCUCGACAGUCGCUGCACUCCCCCGGGGUGGCCCCCACAGCCCCUGGUGACCGCGAAUCUGUUUCCUGUCUGCGGAUUUGCCUGCUCUGGACGUUUCAGGACUUGAAAUCACACCAGAGCCGAGGACACGGGUUCUGUGUAAGGUCUUGCCCGCAUUGCACUAGAAUAUUUGUCGACUGAAAGUGCAUCAAACGAUAGGAGGGUUAUCUUUCCUUAUGACAAAAGCCAAAGGCAAGGUGGUUCCAGAAAAAUUCAGCAUUUCAUUGAUAGCUUCAAGAAUAUGGGUUUCUUUUAAUUUUCUGCUCUGCCACCCCCAGCUGAACCUUCUCCCCGAUCAACAGUUGUAAGACGGCAGCCCUGCAACUUCAAGUCACAUCCUCACAAAGCUUGUCCGGGGCAGAAAAGGAUUGUCCUCCCUAUUGCAUCAAUUCUCAUGAGGACAGAAAAAGUUUCUUGGAAGCAUCCCAGCAAAUUCCUCCUCAUGUCUCACUCACUACAGUCAUAUCACAGCCCUAACCGUGUGCGGGGUCAGCCCCUACCUAUGCACGGUGCGAGCAGGGGAGUGGAUCUUCCAGGUCAACAUUCAAGCCUGGGAUCCAGGAGCACCCACCAAUCCCAGUACCAAAAAACACAGCAACAUAGUGGGGUUUGCUAGUAAGGAAGCCUGGGGAAUGACAAGCUGCCACUAAGAUGUUUGUGCCGGUUCUAAAAUCAAUUGCUUUUCCACCCUGCCUUUCGAAAUGGUUCCUUAAGGUUGGACAGACUGUGACGUAAAACCUGAGUAACUUGGCUGACCAGACAUGAUUAAAAGGGAUGGUUAAGACUGAGCUCUCAAAACUCGCGUGUCACUCAGCCUGAUGCUGGUCAACAGGAAGUAAAGGAAGUGUAGCUCUGAGGACAUCCGAGUUGGCAGAAAGAGCAGAAUUGCUGCACCGUAGGAGAGUAGGUGAGGAAGACAUCAUGUCAAGGGAAUAUUUUGAAAAUAUCCUCUCCUUUACCCUGAAGCUUCACAUUUACUGGGUAAUUUACUCAUAAAUCAGGAGUGACUCUGACAGUUUCUAAAUUGGAUUAAUUUCUCUCCCCCACUGAAGUGACUACUUUUUUCAGGAACUAGACUAGAGCCACCAGCUGGUGUCAGGUAGAUGGAGCCUUAAUUGAACCAAGGAAUCCAGCGGCUCAUCAGUUACGGAUUUGGCUAAUGAGGGGGAGAGCGAAGAUCACUCUCAGUUCAAAGAAGGAAACAAAGCCUAGCCCAGAGUGGGAGCUGUCCACCUUCUGUGGGAAGAGGACAACCGGAAACUUGAGGAGUCCAUUAGCUCCGAGCAUAAAGUGGCGUAAAUCCUACUAGUGCUGAGAAGCCUUGGAAGUAAACAUCCUCCUGAGAGCUGCCUCACGGCUUGGGAAGGGUUUGCCCAGUUGGUUUUUGUUCUUAGGGAGAGGGAUUUGUAGAAAGUGGAAAAAAUUUGGUGGUCAUCAUCAUUGCUUGGCCAGCUCUCUUUGCAUAACUGCAAGUUCAGGACGAAAGAAGAGUGUGUUUACAAUUAUUUCUCUCCUACUAAAAACCCAAGGCUUCAUUCUGAAGCUGGAGGAUGGGUUGUUAAUGUUACAACUUAUGGGGUGCUUAUCCACAAACAUCAGCUUGCAGAUGGUUUGGGAAAAGGCCUCAUUCUUAUCAGAGACAUUUCCCUGGCUGCCUUCUCUUGGUCUUGGAUGUUAGUGUUAGCACAGCACCACUGUCACCCGCUUAAAUGAGAAUAACAAAACUUGGGCAGACUGACCUUUGGAAACUGAGCUUCUCUCACCUGUCUAUCGUGUCUCUUUAUCACUAGGUUCUAAACCUCACCUGUUUCCCAGAAUAGAUGAGAAUUAAACAAGAAGAUCAGGAACUCCUUAAGAGCCACAGAGGCUCCAGGGAGGGAGGCAGAUUUUUCUUUUAAGCCUAAAAGAGAGAAGUAGAGAAAGCCCACUACCCUGUGACCAGCUGAACACAAAGAGAGCAGCAGUUUGCUUGCUGGAAGAACUGUAGGUGCACUGUCUGCAAUUUGUUUCUUUGAAAUAAUGAUCAAAAACUGUUCGAUGAUUCCAGUUUUACUGCUGUGCUGAGAAUGAUUUUUGAACUGGGCACUCAAAGCUGUUCACACAGAAGAAAAUCAGUCUUGUUGCUUUAUGCUUGCAUUGCAUUUGAGGAGUCAAAUAGAAGCCUCUAGCUAGUACAUGCAUUUUAUUCACUUCUUUUUGUUCUGAAUGACAUUUUUUCCCAACAGAUACUUCAAAGGGCCAAUAUUGGACCCAUAAACAGCCUCUGAUUGGCGUAGUCCUGGAGCACUCUUUGUGAAUGAGAGUCCUGUGAACCAAAGGUGCUGUGCUCCGGGGAGCAACAGAUUGUGAAUAUAUGGCUUUUUAUAUUUGUUUAGCAAAAAUUAACAUCGGUGCUAUGUUAUGAAGUCAUUUAGUUACAGUAAAAGGCUAAUUGCUAUUAAAAGCUCUUUCACUGCUACUCACAUUCAAGCAAAGCAAACCAAAGUCAAGUAUUGACACAUUGAUAAUAUUGCCAUAAUCCUUCUGAUGUUAGCAUUUUUCUCAGCUUGUCUGUGAGCAUCUUGACGUUAACAGGAUACUCACGAAUGCUGGUGACGGAGCACAGUGGUAGCUGAACCAAGGCAAAACACACAAAAUGUCUGCUGGUUUCAAGCAUGUUGGUGGUGCAUGCUUUGGGGAUGAGAGCUGUGGGGCUGGGAUUUGAGUACUGACCGUGCCACACCAGGUAGGUAAACGUGGUCGAGUCACUCUGUCUCUCGGCGUCGGUGUCCUCACCUGGAGAUGGAAGCCCCAGCAGCCUCUGUCCUUGACCGCUAGUCUCCGGCACAGGUCCCGGCACGUGGGAGAGUGGACGUUCCAAGUCUCCACAUGACAUCACUUUCUGAGUGGAGCAACCUUGGGACUUGUUUGUUUGCCUCACUUGCCUAUUCUGUAGAAGCUGAAUUGGAAACUCAGAAGCUAAAACAUCUGAAAAGGGAUUUUUAGGCCUUGCUCAGUAAUCUCUCUUCCUCCUACAAGUUCCCUCUCUCCCAGCACAAGCAGCCCCGUUUGCAUGUGCUGCACUUUGGGUGGUGCUAACCCUAACCCUAACUCUAACUCACUCGCUCCUGGUGACUGGCUAGCCAGAUGCUACAGAAGCCAGGUGACACUGACCACCACAAAGUCUGUGUGCGCUCACUUCACCAUGGGGCCCGCAUGGAGUGUGUCACACAAGAAAAGAGCCCUGUGACCCGCCGAGGCCAGCAUGGCCCCUCACCUUGCUUUCCCCCUGCCCUCUGUGCUGCUAAAGUGGCUGCCCCAAUCACAGCUCCACUCACAGGCUCAGCCUCUGCUGGGCCUAACUCUGGAGAGAUGGAGGAGUUUAUUCUGAGGCCUCAGCACCGAGCUGGUGGCUCCCGUCUGUCCACGGUGUGUGUCGGAAGCAGGACUCUGCACGGUCCCAGCGAGCCGAGCUGGAUCUGAGGGGCAGUGGGAGCAGAGGGGAGGCCCCCGGCCUCACUGGGUGGCAGGAGGGAAGCAGGGAGCCCUGGCUGUGCUCCCUGAAGCUCCUCAGGGAAGGUUGACUUGGGCCCAGAAACACCUUGACCUCCAUUUUCCACACCUGUUGCCUACACUUUGAUCUCCCAAGGAUCCCACAGAUGACAGAAUUCCCAGCAAGGGGCCACGGUGCUGGAGAGAAUGAGAAGGGCCAGUGCGGCCCCUGCUGAAUGGAGCAGGGAAAACACACAGUUUUUAGCUCAAGUCAAACGUGGAUUUUAACCUGCGUGGGCCACAAGGGCCCUUGAGAGAUCUGAGAAUGGAGGUUUUGCCCAAAGCCUGCCCAUCCAGUGGGUCUCACUGGGGUGUCUGUGGGAGUGUGUGUGCACACACAUGCAGCCUGCUGCUGUGAGUGUGCAUGGAGGUUGGUGGUAGAACGUCCACCCUGGCUGACGCCCAGACUUCCCGUCUCUCCUUCCCUCCCCCAGGCCCCUCUCUCGUCCUCUCCUCCCUCGUCUCCUCCAGAUCCUGCUCGCUGCUCUGCUGAUGGUGGGUGCUUGGUAAGGAGGGCGGGGGGAAGGAGAGCUUCCCAGGGGUCUGCCCUCAGGAAACCAACGCUAACUGCAAAAUUAGGCACCUUUGCACACGUGUCCAAGUAACCAACCCAGGGAAGCCCUUUAUCCUGUUGUGCUAGGAGAGCGUCUGUACCACUACCAGCAGUACUGUUACUCCUGUCAGCACUGAUGCUACCACCACCGCUGUUACUCCCGUCAGCACCAACCUUACCACUAUAGCUAUUACUCCCAUCAGCACCAACGUUACCACCACCGCUGUUACUGCCGCCAACAUUGACAUUACCCCCAUAGCUAUUACUCCCAUCAGCACUGAUGUUACCACCACCGCUGUUACUCCCGUCAGCACUGACAAUACUUCCAUAGCUAUUACUCCCAUCAGCCUGAUGUUACCACCACCGCUGUUACUCCCGUCAGCACCAACCUUACCAUCACCGCUGUUACUCCCAUCAACACUGACAUUACCCCCAUAGCUAUUACUCCCAUCAGCACUGAUGUUACCACCACCGCUGUUACUCCCGUCAGCACUGACAAUACUCCCAUAGCUAUUACUCCCAUCAGCACCAACGUUACCACCACCGCUGUUACUGCCGCCAACAUUGACAUUACCCCCAUAGCUAUUACUCCCUUCAGCACUGACGUUACCACCACUGCUGUUACUCCCGUCAGCACUGACAAUACUUCCAUAGCUAUUACUCCCAUCAGCCUGAUGUUACCACCACUGCUGUUACUCCCGUCAGCACCGACCUUACCAUCACCGCUGUUACUGCUAUCUGCACUGUCAUUACCACCACUGGUACUAUUCCUGUCAGUAUUACUACUGUUACUAGCACUAUUGCUACGGUUAUUGCCAUUACCUCUUCUCUUACCCAUGUUCCUACUCUUUGCAUUACUACUGCCACCGUCCCUACAAUUGCUGCUGUCACUACUGCUGUUACUACCUUGUUACUACUUCUGUUAUUACUGCUGCUGUUAAUCUGUUACUGACUUCCAACCGAGCCCUUUAAUUUGCUUGUGUAAUGUGCUCCGGUCACUGUGCUAAGUGCAGGAUCUCAUUAAAUCCACCUCUGUAAAGUCGAUUGUGUUAUUGCCCCUGCUAUUCUCACAAGGAUGUUGGUGUUUGGAGAACUUAAGGAACUGACCUUAGUCACACACUGAUUAUUGGCCGAGCUGGGACUGAAAAAUUGAGUCUGAAAACUUUGAGGCUCUCACUGCCUUGAGGACAGAGAAGCUGGAGAGGGCUGGAAAGCUUUCUGCAGAUGCGAAGCAGGUAAUUGCUUUGCGGUGCUUAGCUUAAGGACGGUUACUUCCUCUUGAUUGAAAGUCUUCUCUGCCUCCUCACUGUCCUGCAGUGACAUCCAGAGCCUUAACUCCCGCUUACUUCUGCAGCCUCACCUCCUGCCCCAAAGUGUGGAUGGUGGUUUCAGAGAAGCCCUCUUGCUGGAGAGAAGUGCUGCGCUGUCUGCUUUGCAGGGUUCUGGUGAUUUUCAGCUCUGCCUUCAAAUCGUGAGCUCCUAGAAAGCAGAGAGCUCGCGUUGAGUCAGUGGGCUCAGCAGUCCCUACCCCGGAGGCUCCAGCCCCCGAGUCGCCCGCACCUCGGAGGAGAGCCUCAUCCGGGCUGGAAUGACACGGAGGCUGCCAUGAGGAAGGAAAGUCCAAGUCGAGAAUGUAGGAUGCAGUCGUGCGGGCAGGAGGACAGCAGGUGCCGGUGUGCUGGGCUCCGAGGGGGCUUGGCUGGUGCAGAAACUGAAGGGGGUUUGGGUGGACGAAUGACCAGGUGAAGCUGUGUGGGGAGAGAAGCGGCGGGAAGGAAGCAGGGCACGGAAGCUGCAAUUUGGAAAGGAACCGUGUUCUCCAUUUCUCUCGCAUCUUCCCACACGCUAUCUAACACCUUUCUCUGAAUACACAAAGACCCAUGUGCUUAUUGUAGCUAGAUUUCCAAAGGAAGACUG